AAAUGACACAGAAAUUUACGACUAUAGGUCACCGUACGGCCUUCAACAACGAGCAAAUCCCAUACCGCAUACUCAGCUUUAAAAGGCCCCGAAAUGACGAUGUAAAAAAAUUCAAAGGAGAAAACUAGCGGCCUUAUUUAUGUACAAAAAAGGAACGAAAAACAAAUAUGUAACACACAAACAAACGACAACCACUGAACUACAGGC
rnacentral:lncRNA from 1 species